rnacentral:rRNA from 1 species
AGAGCGAACGCUGGCGGCAGGCUUAACACAUGCAAGUCGAACGCGUGUAGCAAUACACGAGUGGCGCACGGGUGAGUAACGCGUGGAUAUCUGCCUUUUGGUUCGGAAUAACCCCGGGAAACUGGGGCUAAUACCGGAUGGUUCCUACGGGAUAAAGAUUUAUCGCCAAAAGAUGAGUCCGCGUACGAUUAGCUAGUUGGUGAGGUAAUGGCUCACCAAGGCGACGAUCGUUAGCUGGUCUGAGAGGACGAUCAGCCACACUGGGACUGAGACACGGCCCAGACUCCUACGGGAGGCAGCAGUGGGAAUAUUGGACAAUGGGGGCAACCCUGAUCCAGCCAUGCCGCGUGAGUGAUGAAGGCCUUCGGGUUGUAAAGCUCUUUUGGCGGGUACGAUGAUGACGGUACCCGCAGAAUAACGCCCCGGACUAACCUUCGCCGCCACGCACGCCGC